ACUGGACAUAAUCUUACAUUUUUUGUAUUAACCGUUUUAUUCUAGGUAUCUUAGUUCAGGAAAAAAUUCACCGUUUCCAUGCAUAAAAGCGACCCUGGAAUUUUUCCACAAUAAAACCUAAAUCUACAUGGUACGUUAUUAAAGUUGAGCGAAAAUUGCAAGAUGCAUUCAACGACCCAAAGGCUGCUAAUAAGCAGCAUUUGCAGCUCUACUAACAGUAACAAAAUCCAAAUAGGUGGGAUCGGAAGGAAAAAUUCCGCAAGUCAUGGAGGCGAUGGAUAUAAUCCCAUCUUCGUUAAAAUUCCAGAAGAGUUUUUCGGCCUAUUUCGUAAGCACACAACCCAAACAAAGAAUAUAACAUCGCGACCCUAACACAACAGUGAAUAAUCAACGAGCCCCAUCAGGAAACUUUGAACUUUAUACCAACGAAAUAUAUUAUUUAUGAUAAAAGUGCAAUAAGUAUAAUAACAUUAUCGUGCUUGCUUGAUAUAUUUUUUUUAUUU